GACGAACGCUGGCGGCGUGCCUAAUACAUGCAAGUCGAACGCAGUGGGGACGGGUGAGUAACACGUGGGUAACCUCCCAUCAGAGGGGAUAACACUUGGAAACAGGUGCUAAACCGAUACUGAUGGAUGGACCCGCGGUGCAUUAGCUAGUUGGUGAGGUAACGGCACACCAAGGCCACGAUGCAUAGGCGACCUGAGAGGGUGAGCGGACACACUGGGACUGAGACAAGGCCCAAACGCCGACAGGAGUCAGCAGUAGGGAAUCUUCGGCAAUGGACGGAAGUCUGGCCGAGCAACGCCGGGUGAGUGAAGAAGGUUUUCGGAGCGGAAAACUAUGUUGUUAGAGAAGCGGUAUCUAACCAGAAAGCCACGGCUAACUACGUGGCAGCCGCCGCGGUAAUAC
rnacentral:rRNA from 1 species